AGAUUAGACGUUUGGUAUUUGCUUAGUUAGGCCUAGUCAUUAAACUCAAGACCGUCGGUCCAGAAAAGUAUGCGGAAGUUGCCUGCAGCAAGUAACUAGCUAGCUAACUAGAGAAAUUGAGGACGACUAGCAAGAAACUGUGCAGAGCCAGAUGUGUCUGCUUGGAGAGUCCAGUAGUAUGUGUGUACAGUCUGUGACACCACCCCUGUUUCUGUCCUGGUGACAGAGACCCCUGGGAGCAGGGUCUGCGGUGGCGGUGACAUAUCUGCAGCUGGUGUGACGACCCAGUCCCCUGAGCAGGCACUGUUUGUGUCGGACCGCAUCCUGGCCCAGAUUAAUAAGAUGCGUCUCCGGACAGACUUCUGUGACGUCAGGCUACUGCUGGGAGGCCGGGUGUUCAGUGUCCAUAAGCUGGACCUACUUUUCUGCUCUGUUCUCUGGAUGGAUGAGCGAGGCGGACAAGGAGGAGGUCCAGAUCCUGGGGGUGGAGGCACAGAUGUUUGAGGUCCUGCUGGAGUUCAUAUACACAGCUUCGUCCUGUCAUGAAAUGUACCAUUUUACUGAAUGUGUAGUGUACAGUAGUGUUCAUACACAAAACAGUACAUAAUACAGAUGUCUUUGUGUUUCUUUGAACUGAAUCCGUCCAGGCACGAUUCAUGUGACGGUGGAGAACAUGCAGGAGCUGAUGGUGGCAGCAGACAUGCUGAAGCUGAGUGAGGUGGUGUCUAUCUGUGGAGAGUUCCUCAAGAGCCACAUGGACCUGUCCAACUGUGUGGGGUUACACCAGUUCCUGGAGCAGAUCGCCUGCAUGGACGUGCUGGAGUUCACUGAGAACUACGUCCAUGUACACUUUCUGGAGGUGUGUGUGUGUGUUGGAUGAGUUCUGGGGCCUGUCCAAGGACCAGCUGGUGAAGCUGCUGCGGAGCGAAGAUAAGUACCAGGUAUUCACGGCAGCCAUGGACUGGGUCCUUCAGGACGUGGCCAAGAGGAAGAAACGUGGUGGAGGUGCUGUACCCAGUCAGGUUCCCCCUGCUCUCCCCACAGAGACUCUUCAGGUACAUAGGUGGUUUGGUUGGAUCAGAGAUUGGGAAGACGAUGGAGCCACAUCAAAGACGAGUCCUCGAGUUCAUUGUCAACAUAGCCUUCACCAGCAAUGUGUUUUAACCUUUGAACAGCAGUGGCAGAAUGCUGCAGGAGAAUCGAAUUCUGUUAUUUCCCAUAUUGUACUCAUAUAGCCAAUAGAGGGUGCGACUCAGAAUACUUUUUUCAUCACCUCACAGAGCAUGAACACAGAGCCUUUUUCUAGCUAGAACAGUUUGGUCUUUGCAAAAUACAAGGCAAAUCACUUUCUGUGGUCUUGCAGGGGAAUUGAUGGAUUUCAGAAUGUUUGGAUUGUUCUGUUAUUUUGGAUAGUUUAUUGCUUUUAUGUAACUGAACUAGAAGUUCAUUGUACACAGACAAACAGAUGACUGGGAGACUGCCAACAGGGGGACUGUUGAUUCAACUGAGCUAGCAAGACUGCAGUACCUACUCCGUCAGUUACAUGGCAGACCUGUCUGUCUCCAUCACUCAGUCAUAUACUUCCUGCUCCGUUUCAGAGGUGUGCCAGUGUUUCUGGAGGGUAAAUAGCUUUCAUUGUUUACUGUACUUUCUCUGCUAAUUUGUGUGGACUUAAACAUUGGUACUUUCAGGACCAUUACGUUUUUACAUAAGUGUAAAGGAUUGUUUGUCCGUUUUUGAGAAUGGGAUAGCUGUCUGUCACUGAUAUCCUGUCAAUUGUUUCAACCUGUGCACUUUGAGUGUCACAUUUAAAAUUAACACCAAAACUAUUAACUUACAUGGGAGUUGUCCAUUAUCCAUGUCGACUUAAGGUAGACUGACUGCUAGUGCGAUGGGCUUCAUGUGUCUACACGGAGUUGUAUUAAAACCUUGUACUGCA